GGUGGUAUAGUGUAGUGGUUAUCACUCGAGAUUCUGAUCGAUUGAUUUUCCGAUCUCAUCCUGUUCUCGAAACCCAGGUUCGAAUCCUGGUACUACCU